rnacentral:rRNA from 1 species
UACGUAGGUGGCAAGCGUUGUCCGGAUUUAUUGGGUUUAAAGGGUGCGCAGGCGGCCGGGUGUGUGAGGCGUGAAAGCCCGAUGCUUAACAUCGGAAUUGCACCUCAAACUACACGGCUAGAGCAUUGGAGAGGGUAGCGGAAUUCACGGUGUAGCAGUGAAAUGCGUAGAUAUCGGGAGGAACACCAGUGGCGAAGGCGACUUCCUGGCCUGUUCUUGACGCUGAGGCGCGAAAGCUAGGGGAGCAAACGGG